rnacentral:rRNA from 1 species
CCUACGGGAGGCUGCAGUCGAGAAUCAUUCACAAUGGGCGAAACCCUGAUGGUGCGACGCCGCGUGGGGGAAUGAAGGUCUUCGGAUUGUAAACCGCUGUUAUGCGGGGGCAAUUUAAAAUGAUAGUACCACAAGAGGAAGAGACGGCUAACUCGGUUCCAGCAGCCGCGGUAAUACAGCGGUCUUAAGCGUUGUUCGGAAUCACUGGGCGGAAAGUGUGCGGAGGCUGUUUCGUAAGUGGUGUGUGAAAGGCGGAGGCUCAACGCGCGGACUGCACCUGAUACUGCGCGACUAGAGUAAAGGAGGGGAAACCGGAAUUCUCGGUGUAGCAGUGAAAUGCGUAGAUAUC